rnacentral:rRNA from 1 species
CAGACUCCUACGGGAGGCAGCAGUGGGGAAUAUUGCACAAUGGGCGAAAGCCUGAUGCAGCGACGCCGCGUGAGGGAUGACGGCCUUCGGGUUGUAAACCUCUUUCAGCAGGGAAGAAGCGARAGUGACGGUACCUGCAGAAGAAGCGCCGGCUAACUACGUGCCAGCAGCCGCGGUAAUACGUAGGGCGCAAGCGUUGUCCGGAAUUAUUGGGCGUAAAGAGCUCGUAGGCGGCUUGUCACGUCGGUUGUGAAAGCCCGGGGCUUAACCCCGGGUCUGCAGUCGAUACGGGCAGGCUAGAGUUCGGUAGGGGAGAUCGGAAUUCCUGGUGUAGCGGUGAAAUGCGCAGAUAUCAGGAGGAACACCGGUGGCGAAGGCGGAUCUCUGGGCCGAUACUGACGCUGAGGAGCGAAAGCGUGGGGAGCGAACAGGAUUAGAUACCCUGGUAGUCCACGCCGUAAACGGUGGGCACUAGGUGUGGGCAACAUUCCACGUUGUCCGUGCCGCAGCUAACGCAUUAAGUGCCCCGCCUGGGGAGUACGGCCGCAAGGCUAAAACUCAAAGGAAUUGACGGGGGCCCGCACAAGCAGCGGAGC